GAACUGAGGUGCGAUUGUGUAAAGUUGUUCAUGGAUGGACAAUGAAUACAAUUGAUCAUCGAUCGUAUAUCUAAAUUCGAAUUGUGUAAUUUUGUCCAUUCCAUGAAGACCGAAAAGUGACCGGUCGUAUAUAAUCGUUUCAUGGAUUUGCGUUUUAUUAAUGAAAAACAUUCGCUAAAACUCAUUAUUUUUUAACAAAUAACAAAUGAAAUCCAUGUUCAAAUGCAGUUUUUUUUAAUAAAAUUUUAUGAUUGCACCUUAAUAACAUACUUUUAUUCAUAAAAACAUUGAAUUCGAAUUAAAAAUUUACCUCUGCAAAUCAUAUAACCAAACGCAUAGAACGAAUGAAAUACGAGUUCCACUACCCGCCCCCAGGUGGCAUACAUACUUUAAGGCUAGGCAGGCUAAGUUGAAUACUACUCUACAAUAGGUGGCGUUAAUGGACUACGAAAAACGACGUGAAAUGCUUACUUCUUUUUAUUUAUUUAUACUUUAAUGCCAAAAUUUUAACCUAAGGCGAACUUAAUCUCACAUUUAAUAAAUUAUACAUAAAUAAGUGUUUUGAGAAGUAGUAUUUUAAUCUAUGUUCUGUGAAUGACAAGUGUUAUCUGUCAAGUGUCAAAAAACUUGAAAAACUUUUACGAAGUUUUUGAAUUAUGUUAAAUUUGUUUAUAAACACAAGUAAGUAUAGAUUAUUACACUAAAUUAAGGCAUUCUAUCAAAAAUGAAAACAACCCAAGUUUCAAUAACUACUCCUGUAACUUUGGUUUCUUCAUAUCAAAUAAUCAAUUUCAUUUUCAGUGCCAAAGGCAAGAAUAAUUGCCCACGCCAGAUGGAGACCCAGCUAAAUAAUGUAGUAACAGCGCGUGGUCGUGUGAUGAGGGUUCCUUGACUUGAGUUCUGGCGCAACACGUCCUGGGCACUAAACAAGAUUGGGGAUGGGACGUCUAAAGAGGUGCAGGCCUGGAAAACGCUCUCGUCUUGCUCUACAGCACUUGCACUUGUCCCACCAUCUACCAGUGUUGGAACUCUUCCAAUAAUUACCCACACACAGGUGGAGAAUACUCCAGUUGCUGCUACUGCUACUCUAAAAUAUCUCUCAUCUUGUUCUACAGCGCCUGCACCUGUCCUACCAUCUACCAGUGUUGGAACUCGUCGAAGUGUAUUAAUGAUUAUUAUUUUAGUAACCAUAAAAGUUUAAAACAAUACAUUUUAUUGCAUAAUUAUUUGUUAGAAAAAACGACAAGUACAAAUGAGUAGGGAGGCUGUUGAUUUUUCAUGGUUAUUUUAUAUCUUGUUGAUUGUUCCAAAAAAAACUAAGUUUUCAAGAAUGCUGUGAUUAAAGUACCUAUAGUAUUAUAUUUAAAAUAAAAACUUAGUUUGUAAAGAGACGAAGGCUGACCACAAAAGAAGUACUUAUAGCUGUCUGUGUCUGUGUAAAGAAUUUAAAUAAAAAGAUGUGUAUAUUUAAACAGUUUUCUUUAUUUUAUUAGUCAUUUAUUCCUGUAAAUAAGCCCACACAGGGCACUUUUACAUGUCCCAACAUAACUUUACCCUACCACUUUGGCAGUAUUGUGGGUUAAGGCUGAUUAAAACGUGUUAAGUAGAUAAGUAGGUACCUACCUAACUACUUUAUUGACUUAAUUUUAAGUAAUUAAUUGCGUAGUAGUAUAGUACAAAACUUAUUGUUGAUGAAAAAGAACUCUUGUGUCUCACUAAAACUUAUUUCCAUUAACACCAAGCACUCACCGCUUACCACACUUUAUCUUUCAAAGAAAUAAAUUAACAAUUUGCAUACGAGGACGAGGAUAGAAUUACCUACACCUCGAGAAUUUAUACGAUUAUCAUGAGUUACGAGUCACCGCAAUCAUUUGAUAUUAGCAAUGGGCUCAUGAAACUUAGACAAUUCGAAUUUUCUGUCAAAAUCAUAUUCAUCAUUCACUCAUCGUAUAAAAUUACGAUCAAAUCGUUAUCAUAUCGUUAUCGUUUUAUGAACUCCUUACACAAUUAGAAUUAGCCGUUUGACACAUCAUAACGUACGUUAUGAACUGUCAAAUGAAUACGAUUGCCUUAGACAAUCGCACCACUGAUU